rnacentral:lncRNA from 1 species
CUUUUUCGCUAAAUUCCCGAGUUUAUACAAAUUAUUACAGAAAAGUGAGAAAUUAGACUCAAAUUAAGAAAUACAUCAGAAAACUAACAGUUACUUCCAAACAACCUAAUUCAGACUUAACGUCUAACAACAUGAGAUUGAACCACUUCCAGGAUCCAGAUUUCCAAAGCCUUCUCUUUAUAUAGGGUGUUUCAAAGUUUUGAGGAAUUUUAGGAAUUCCAGCCAUUGCUUACACCCAAGAUACCAAAUAAAAUAUUAUAGGUACAGUGCAGUAUGGAGGGGCCAGCUCUCAGUUGUCCAAGUUCAGAGGGAGCUCCAGGUUCCCAAGGCAAAGCUCACAAGAGAUGGGCGGAGGUUAGGUUCUAAGAAUGAGUGUAAGUGCAAAAAGGGGUUGGGGAAUGCCAUUACAGGUUGGUGGUCAUGCCUAGCCACAAAGUAGGCUGGCACACCCCUGACAAAACAUUUUCAACCAAACAAAUAAGAGCACAAACCUAUUGAAGGUUAGAUUAUGGUCUGGACAGUGAUCAGGACACUGCCAGACCAAGGUCUUGGGCUCAAAGUGCACAUAGGGGGAAAGGGAAUGGGAGUUGACAGAGUUUAGGAUUCAGAGAAUCCAGUCCAUAUACCUAAACAACAAUGUUAAGUGUUGUCAUGCUUUCUGAACCAUAACUCAACAGAUAAAGGGGUUUGGGGAUAGGGGAUUCAUAUAAGAGUAAGGAUAACAAACUUGCAGAAAAGCAGUAAGAAACAAACACAGAAAAAGCCUAAAGUAUAAACACAUAAGAGAGAGGAGGGAUUUAAACUAGAAGAGACAUACCAGUUGCAAAAGUAAAUGGAAAGAGAAGCAGAACACUUGCAGCCACAACACAACCAAAGAAAGCUAACUUUGAUUUUAGAGGAAAAACUCGAAUGCUUUUUUAGAGAACUAAGAGUAAAAGAAGUAGUGAGUUAUAUUGUGUGUUCGUGAGAACCUUGGUGUUGAAAGAGCAGAGGUAGAGGUAUUUAUAAUUUUGAAAAUGAGUAGAGAGUAAGGUAAUAAGUACAAUUUUAACACAAAUAUGGAAACAAUCACAAGUUAGAAUUAAUUAGCCCAAGUGACUCCCCUUUAAUUAAGGAGUCACUGUUUAACGGGUAACAACAGGUGUAACUAACGAAAGAAACAUCAAUUGGGGGACAGAGUGAUUAUUGCCAUAAAAAGGGUAGUAAAAGCAUGAAGUAAACGAUCAAGUCUAAGUACAACGAUAUGCUUAUUUUAGGAAAGAUCCAGUAAGGUAAAAUAUAAUAGUAAGGGGAAAAGAAUCAAUUGAUUUUAAACAUCGAGUGAAAUCAUGACUCGUAAGAAAACUUUUCAAAUCAGUCACAAAAUCUAGAUCAGUCAAGGAAGAAACAUGAUUCUGCACUUCAGCAUAUAAAUAGAGUGAACAAAAGCAUCAGUCAUGCGAGGCCAAGAACAUAAGCAUAUGAUUCAGUAGAUAAUCAUGGCUUACACAUUUGGUCAAAGUGAAGAAAAGAGUCAAAACAGGUAAAGCUCUUCACAGUAACAAGUGAGGAAGCCCUUAUGAGAGAUUAGGAUUUCAGCAGUGGUCGAGUUAAAAGAUAGUAAAACCCAGAAUCAGAUGAGUUACAUAAAGAAAAGGGAGUCUGAAACAAGGAACCUUUAAUAGAGUCAGACGUACUUUCUGACAAUUAGUCUUAGACGAAAAGACCUAGGAUUUUCCACAAUAAUCGAGUGUAAAAAACGGUGAAACAAAUAAGUCAAACAAGAACGAGGAGGAGAUGAAUCAGACAAGUAUGCAUCUAACAAACAGUUUCAGCACUCAAAUGAGACCAAAAAAGAACUAGGAUUUUUAGCAUGCUGAAACAAAUAGAAGAACGACAUGAGCAAAUCAUAGCCAAACCACAAACAUGUUAAAGUCGAAGAUCUUUUGAAAACUUAAACCAAAACCCUAAUGAAGGGUCGUUUUACAAGAAAAGUUGAAGAACUUUCGAGAAAACACUUAAAAAGUUCAUGGUAAGUACAGAUCUAAAGUAGAUCUCACAGGAAAAAUCAAAAAUCCUAAUGAUUAGGGUUUUGAAAAACCCAGAAAGGUGAGAAAGGAUUUGAAAAUUAACAAUAUAACCAGGAGAGUCAAGGAUCUGACUCGAACGGCCACAGCUGGCCGGAGAAAACUCAAGGAUGGCAAGAGAAAGGCCAUGAACGGAAGUCAGGCAAACACUAGACAAACUCCUUCGAGGUCUGGUCAUGAAACCAUAGAAACGAACACCUGGGAGCUAUAGGAGGCCAUUACACAUCUCCAAUGGCCAUGGGGGCCAUGGAACAGGCAGGGUUUGGAGUAGAUUAGGGUGGGAUUAGAUGGUGGCGGCUAGGGUUCAUGAGAGCUUCAAAGAGAGUUGAGAGAGAAGAGGGAUUCAAGGGCGGCGGUUGG